UGGGAGCCGGAAAUGGCGGAACAUCCGCUACUGUCGCGUUUGAAAACUUUGAAGCGGGCUACACCAAAGAAAUGGAAGGCAAUUUACAAGAAGUGUACAACAAAAUGAACUAAGCGAUUCACAAGCCAAUGGACUGUGGGUGCUGGAUGCGCAUCGAUGAACACGCUCAGCUCCUUCUCCUCCUGCAGCUGAUGUACGGUGAGCGUUCUACAAAAUGGCUGCCGUGCAUCACCCAGGUGGGAGCCACGCAUCGGUGGGUGAGAAGGCUCGCCCUCCCGUGGUGCGGGGAUCUGGCCGGCGCCCUUACUCAGGGGAAUGUUCCGGAUUCUGUCUCCUGUGCGAGACGUUUUCUGUAUACAGCUGGGUGCUUGCUGGAGGACUUUGUGUUGGUGCAUUUCUCACGCGUGUAGGCACUGCAGUGUAUGUGUUCCACGUUGGCCACGCAGAGCAGGUGGCUGGUUUUCAGACCUAUGACCUGUUCUGACCCUAGAAACCAGACACCAAGAUGGAUGGAGUUGCUGCUAGAAAGGGAGCACAAAGGCGGCAGCCCCAAGGUGAGCCGGCCCGGCGCAGCCUGGUGUAGGGCCUCAGUCAGCCGGCCUCUCAAUGCCGCAGUAUGGAAACAGAUGCU